rnacentral:rRNA from 1 species
AGUGAACGCUGGCGGUAGGCCUAACACAUGCAAGUCGAACGGCAGCACAGUAAGAGCUUGCUCUUACGGGUGGCGAGUGGCGGACGGGUGAGGAAUACAUCGGAAUCUACUUUUUCGUGGGGGAUAACGUAGGGAAACUUACGCUAAUACCGCAUACGACCUACGGGUGAAAGCAGGGGAUCUUCGGACCUUGCGCGAUUGAAUGAGCCGAUGUCGGAUUAGCUAGUUGGCGGGGUAAAGGCCCACCAAGGCGACGAUCCGUAGCUGGUCUGAGAGGAUGAGCAGCCACACUGGAACUGAGACACGGACCAGACUCCUACGGGAGGCAGCAGUGGGGAAUAUUGGACAAUGGGCGCAAGCCUGAUACAGCCAUACCGAGUGGGUGAAGAAGGCCUUCGGGUUGUAAAGCCCUUUUGUUGGGAAAGAAAAGCAGCAGGUUAAUACCCCGCUGUUCUGACGGUACCCAAAGAAUAAGCACCGGCUAACUUCGUG